CCAAUAGCGUAUAUUAAAGUUGUUGCAGUUAAAAAGCUCGUAGUUGAAUUUCGGGAUCAUCAGGUUGGUCGUGCCUCUGGUAUGUACUUGCUUCGAUGGUCCUUCCUUCUUGAAGAACCGUAAUGCCAUUAAUUUGGUGUUGCGGGGAAACAGGACUGUUACUUUGAAAAAAUUAGAGUGUUUAAAGCAGGCAAUCGCUUGAAUACAUUAGCAUGGAAUAAUGAAAUAGGACGUUCGAUCCUAUUUUGUUGGUUUCUAGGAUUGACGUAAUGAUUAAUAGGGAUAGUUGGGGGCAUUAGUAUUCAAUUGUGAGAGGUGAAAUUCUUGGAUUUAUUGAAGACUAACUACUGCGAAAGCAUUUGCCAAGGAUGUUUUCAUUAAUCAAGAACGAAAGUUAGGGGAUCGAAGACGAUCAGAUACCGUCGUAGUCUUAACCAUAAACUAUGCCGACUAGGGAUCGGAUGAUUUUAAUUUUUUAAUGACUCAUUCGGCGCCUUACG
rnacentral:rRNA from 1 species